rnacentral:lncRNA from 1 species
CUGAGUGCUUGUUAAAGGUAUAUUUUCUUUUAAGUUAUAUGGAGAGAGAUGUCAACUAUUUACCAUAAAUAUAUUUAUACAUUUGAAUAUAUAAAUGAUACUGUUACUUACCUUUAGUAGGUUUCCCACUGACAGGUAUGCUCGGAAAACAUCUUUCACUGAACCUGAAAUGUUGAUAUAAAUAUCUGAAGAAAAAUACUAAUCACAGAAUACAUUGAACAGACUUACUGAUCUUGUAUACCUGGAAAAAGAUUUUCAAACAGACUUUGUCAGCUCAGCCAUGGCAUUCCUUGUCAAACAAAAGCAUGCCUAAAGACACAUUUCAAAAGCAGACAAUGCAGCACUUGCUAACCUGCAGAAAAUCGAAAGGGAUCAGGGAGGCAGAGAACAAACAGAAUAGAGCAGAGUGAGAGCAACCCCUAAGAAGCAAGUCCAGUUACAAAGGAUCCUUAUGCCAACAGCACAGAUCAAUCAGGGAAAGUGCAUCUACAAGCCAAGUUUAUAUAGGUCUUCAUUUCUGAUGAAUGUGGCACGAAUGUUUAAAAGCAAAUUAAUACAGAGCCUGGAGGGUCAGUGAAUACCAAUCAACCCCUGAAGUCUCAAAGUGAGACCAAGCGAAAAAGAGGAUGGACUGAUCAGAGAUAAACUGACGUGAGUAGCAAU